AGUGGGGAAUCUUAGACAAUGGGCGCAAGCCUGAUCUAGCCAUGCCGCGUGAGUGACGAAGGCCCUAGGGUCGUAAAGCUCUUUCGCCAGGGAAGAUAAUGACGGUACCUGGUAAAGAAACCCCGGCUAACUCCGUGCCAGCAGCCGCGGUAAUACGGAGGGGGUUAGCGUUGUUCGGAAUUACUGGGCGUAAAGCGCACGUAGGCUGACCGUUAAGUCAGGGGUGAAAUCCCGGGGCUCAACCCCGGAACUGCCCUUGAUACUGGCGGUCUUGAGUUCGAGAGAGGUGAGUGGAACUCCGAGUGUAGAGGUGAAAUUCGUAGAUAUUCGGAAGAACACCAGUGGCGAAGGCGGCUCACUGGCUCGAUACUGACGCUGAGGUGCGAAAGUGUGGGGAGCAAA
rnacentral:rRNA from 1 species